GAUGAAGAACGUAGCGAAAUGCGAUAAGUAAUGUGAAUUGCAGAAUUCAGUGAAUCAUCGAAUCUUUGAACGCACAUUGCGCCCGCCAGUAUUCUGGCGGGCAUGCCUGUCUGAGCGUCAUUUCAACCCUCAAGCAACUUCUGCUUGGUGUUGGGGAUCGGCCGUUAAACGCCGCCCCCGAAAUCUAUUGGCGAUCUCGCUGUAGCUUCCUAUGCGUAGUAGUAACAUCUCGCAUCUGGAGAGCGGCGCGGUCAUGCCGUAAAACACCCAACUUCUCAGGUUGACCUCAGAUCAGGUAGGAAUACCCGCUGAACUUAAGCAUAUCAAUAAGCGGGGA
rnacentral:misc_RNA from 1 species